rnacentral:rRNA from 1 species
GCAAGUCGAACGAGUUCUCGUUGAUGAUCGGUGCUUGCACCGAGAUUCAACAUGGUACGAGUGGCGGACGGGUGAGUAACACGUGGGUACCUGCCCUUAAGUGGGGGAUAACAUUUGGAAACAGAUGCUAAUACCGCAUAGCUCCAAGAACCGCAUGGUUCUUGGCUGAAAGAUGGCGUAAGCUAUCGCUUUUGGAUGGACCCGCGGCGUAUUAGCUAGUUGGUGAGGUAAUGGCUCACCAAGGCGAUGA